GAUGAACGCUGGCGGCGUGCCUAAUACAUGCAAGUCGAGCGAACGGACGAGAAGCUUGCUUCCCUGAUGUUAGCGGCGGACGGGUGAGUAACACGUGGAUAACCUACCUAUAAGACUGGGAUAACUUCGGGAAACCGGAGCUAAUACCGGAUAAUAUAUUGAACCGCAUGGUUCAAUAGUGAAAGACGGUUUUGCUGUCACUUAUAGAUGGAUCCGCGCCGCAUUAGCUAGUUGGUAAGGUAACGGCUUACCAAGGCGACGAUGCGUAGCCGACCUGAGAGGGUGAUCGGCCACACUGGAACUGAGACACGGUCCAGACUCCUACGGGAGGCAGCAGUAGGGAAUCUUCCGCAAUGGGCGAAAGCCUGACGGAGCAACGCCGCGUGAGUGAUGAAGGUCUUCGGAUCGUAAAACUCUGUUAUUAGGGAAGAACAAAUGUGUAAGUAACUAUGCACGUCUUGACGGUACCUAAUCAGAAAGCCACGGCUAACUACGUG
rnacentral:rRNA from 1 species